rnacentral:rRNA from 1 species
UACGUAGGUGGCGAGCGUUGUCCGGAUUUACUGGGCGUAAAGAGCGCGCAGGCGGUCGUUCAAGUCGCGUGUGAAAGCCCCCGGCUCAACUGGGGAGGGUCACGCGAUACUGAUCGACUCGAAGGCAGGAGAGGGAAGUGGAAUUCCCGGUGUAGUGGUGAAAUGCGUAGAUAUCAGGAGGAACACCUGUGGUGUAGACAGCUUGCUGGACCACUUCUGACGCUGGAGACACGAAAGCGUGGGUAGCAAACAGG